UACGUAGGGGGCAAGCGUUAUCCGGAUUUACUGGGUGUAAAGGGAGCGUAGACGGCAGUGCAAGCCUGGAGUGAAAGGAUGGGGCUCAACCCCAUGACUGCUCUGGGAACUGCAUAGCUAGAGUGCCGGAGGGGUAAGCGGAAUUCCUAGUGUAGCGGUGAAAUGCGUAGAUAUUAGGAGGAACACCAGUGGCGAAGGCGGCUUACUGGACGGUAACUGACGUUGAGGCUCGAAAGCGUGGGGAGCAAACAGG
rnacentral:rRNA from 1 species